CAGCGAGGACAAAACAACUAUAGACAUUUACAUACCACUUUGUUUUAAUACUGCAACUUCCGAUCGCUCUGGCAUCAACCUGGGAGGUUGGAGUCAAGUCGGUUUAUCCACCUCUUGCGGCGCAACGUUCAUUUAUACAGACGUUUUGAAGACAUACUUAUUGGUUGUUGCAGUGAAAUAAUGGCACCUUGACCCCGUUCAGUCUAUUCAGUGCUUUGGAGAGAAAAGAAAGGCGACGUUUUGUUCGUCACCAGUGGCCCAUCAAUAGAAGAGAGAGUGAGAGAGAGCGGUGAGAUUCAGCGUUGACUUGGUGGAUGUCUUAAACCAUGAACAACCUGGGACCUCCGAUGAGGCAAGCCAAUGGGGUGGCCAGAUCUGACAGCAAGAUGGGAGCCAAGGCUCUAUACG